AGUAACUCAGACUACCAGCAUGCACCACCAUGGCGAGGUUUGUCUGACAUUAAGAGAUUGCUCAUGUGUGGAAAAGGUACAAGUGAAGAAAUUCUGAGAAAAUGAUGUGAAGGGCAGAUGCCUUGUAUUCCACCUGUCUGCCUGGGGUUGACCUCACCUAUUGCCUAUAGAGGGCCUCAUGUAGACUUAAAUGAGGCACUGAACUUCUCCAGCCUGUUUCACCAUCUGUCAAUGAAGAUGGAGAGAAGGGGAUGCCUCUGUGAAGGGCAGUAGGAAAGUUAUGUGAGUUAAUAAACAUCAGAGAGGUGCUGGGCCUGCUGGCAGCCCCUAAGCAAGAUGGUGCUUCUUCAGCCUAGGAGGAGGCAGCUGCAACCUCCUCAAUUUGUACCCCUCAAGCAAAUGAUAUGGCUUCCCUUUCUUCAUGGGUAAAGAAGUAGUGAUUGUAUCUUUUGAAAAUAUUGAAAGUAAUGAGCUAUGGAUGUGCCUACUUUGAGAAUGUUAUGGUUGUUAGAUUCUGACAAUGAUUAGAAGAUAGGAAAUAUGAAGUGAACUGCAUAGGGGCUGGGAAAUAGUAAAUACCAUCACAAGUUAAGUGUGAGCUAUUAUGUGUAAACCUUUACAGAUCCCCACACAUGGCAUCUGGCAUGCAUUCAGCACUCACAGAAUGUUUGUUGGGAGAUAAAUGCAUUAAUUUACAGUUUGCCUCAUCUCUUGUUAGUGAUGAAAGCUCUACCAAUAUAAGGAGAAAUGGCUAUAUACUAAAUAAUGUUAAGUACUGUAUAGGUGCUCAUUUAACUCUUUCAGCAGCCUGUCUUACAGAAAACAAACUGUUAACUUAUUGUUAACUUAAGGGAGGUUAACUUACUCACUGAAAUUCACACAGCCGCUAUGUGAUAAAUCAUUGAUUCAACCCCGGGCACUCUGAUGUCUGGACUCACCAGUGUAUUAGCCCCCAACAGCAGAUGAUAUGAAACUAGUACAGAUGGAAAAACGAAUGUUGAGAGCAAAUAAGCAGAUUUUCAGCAAAAGAACUUACAGCCUUUGGUGUUGGAUACCUGUUCUAGCAUAGAGUUCUGUUUGACAACACUUUUAAAUUCAUGCCACAAUGAUACUUUAAGUUUGACCAGUUCUCCAUGAACUUUGUUUCUCUGUUUUUCUUCCAUUCAAAAAAUGCCUUUUAAGGAUUUCUUUGAGACACUUUAUGGGCCAAGUAGAACUUCUUGCCUUCUGAAGGUUCAUUGAAAAGUCAGCUCACAAAAGGCAGAUAAAUAGGAGAAAAAAGUAUACAGAUUUAAUCAAGAAGUAUACACAAGGGCCAUCAGAAAGAAGAUACAGGGAAAUUGUUCAUUGUUAUUCUGAGAAUCCAUAAACUGUGCACAGCUGUGUAGAAUAAAAAUGCUUUGUUAGCUUCA